CCAUCUAUGAUGCCAUGAAGGAGGUGAACCUGGCGGCUACCACGGACAAGCGGACAUCCUUCUACCUGCCCCUAGAUGCCAUCAAGCAGCUGCACAUCAGCAGCACCACCACCGUCAGUGAGGUCAUCCAGGGGCUGCUCAAGAAGUUCAUGGUUGUGGACAAUCCCCAGAAGUUUGCACUUUUUAAGCGGAUACACAAGGACGGACAAGGUAGGAGAAAGAGUGCACCCAACCAGACCGUUCCAUUCCUACCUGUGUCCAAGCCCACCCACUAAAAGUCCUGCCAGCCUUGGGUGGGAGCUGUGGGCUUCUCCUGAGCACCAGGGGGCCAGCUGCCCAUGUGGUGUUCAGAUCUGUGGAAUCCGGGCAGGGAGGCAAGAGCAGAGAGCUUGAUAGAGCAGCUCACUGUGUCCCUGACUCUGCAUAUGACUUCAGGAAAACCACACCCUAGGCUCCCAUUUCCUGACCUGUGCAAUGGGAGGAAUCUGCCCCACCAUUCCUAAUCUUUCAGGAGAUGAUGUGAAUGGAAUCAUGCUUUAAACUCUGAGCAGACACCCAAGAUAAAAGGUUAUUGCCCUGUUCAUUACUGUCAUGUUCAUUUCAUUAAAAGGCCCGUGUCUACUUCCAGUUGUAUGUACCCCACCUCUGCAUUUCCAAUCCUUUUGCCCAAGCCUGGGCCCCACCCUUCUUUUCUGGGAUGAGCUCCCAGCCCCCUCUCUUGGUUUGCAGUGCUCUUCCAGAAACUCUCCAUUGCUGACCGCCCCCUCUACCUGCGCCUGCUUGCUGGGCCUGACACGGAGGUCCUCAGCUUUGUGCUAAAGGAGAAUGAAACUGGAGAGGUGGAGUGGGAUGCCUUCUCCAUCCCUGAACUUCAGAACUUCCUAACAAUCCUGGAAAAAGAGGAGCAGGACAAAAUCCAACAAGUGCAAAAGAAGUAUGACAAGUUUAGGCAGAAACUGGAGGAGGCCUUAAGAGAAUCCCAGGGCAAACCUGGGUAACUGGUCCUGCUUCCUCUCCUCCUGGUGCACUCAGAUUUAUUUGUAUUAUUAAUUAUUAUUUUGCAACAGACACUUUUUCUCAGGACAUCUCUGGCAGGUGCAUUUGUGCCUGCCCAGCAGUUCCAGCUGUGGCAAAAGUCUCUUCCAUGGACAAGUGUUUGCAUGGGGGUUCAGCUGUGCCCGCCCCCAGGCUGUGCCCCACCACAGAUUCUGCCAAGGAUCAGAACUCAUGUGAAACAAACAGCCGACGUCCUCUCUCGAUCUGCAAGCCUUUCACCAACCAAAUAGUUGCCUCUCUUGUCACCAAACUGGAACCUCACACCAGCCGGCAAAGGAAGGAAGAAAGGUUUUAGAGCUGCGUGUUCUUUCUCUGGCUUUGAUUCUUCUUUGAGUUCUCUUACUUGCCACGUACAGUACCUUUAUUUAUGAGUGAAAAGUUGUAGCACAUUCCUUUUGCAGGCCUGAGCUAAGCCCCUGAAAGCAGGAUAAUGCUCAUAAAAGGACUGUUCCCUCGGCCCCAAGGUGCCUGUUGUUCACACUUAAGGGAAGUUUAUAAAGCUACUGGCCCCAGAUGCUCAGGGUAAGGAGCACCAAAGCUGAGGCUGGCUCAGAGAUCUCCAGAGAAGCUGCAGCCUGCCCUGGCCCUGGCCCUGGCUCUGGCCCUGGCCCAGGCCCACAUUGCACAUGGAAACCCAAAGGCAUAUAUCUGCGUAUGUGUGGUACUUAGUCACAUCUUUGUCAACAAACUGUUUUUAAGUUACAAAUUUGAAUUUAAUGUUGUCAUCAUCGUCAUGUGUUUCCCCAAAGGGAAGCCAGCCAUUGACCAUUUAAAAAGUCUCCUGCUAAGUGUGGAAAUCAGACAGUAAGAGAAAGCCAAAAAGCGAGCACAGAAACGUGUCCAAGCUGUCUUCAGCCUUCCCCAGCUAAAGAGCAGAGGAGGGCCUGGGCUGCUUGGGUUCCCCAUCAGCCUCCAGCACUGCCUCCCUCCUCCCACUGGGACUCUGGGAUCUCCAGGUGCUGCCCAAGGAGUUGCCUUGAUUACAGAGAGGGGAGCCUCCAAUUCGGCCAACUUGGAGUCCUUUCUGUUUUGAAGCAUGGGCCAGCCCCGGCACUGCGCUCAGGGAGCUGGUGGGCCUGGCCUCCCUGAGCGCAGUGCCUCAGUGCCUUUUUGUUUUCAGAGAGAAAUAGGAGCAGGGUGAGUUUGCCUGAAGCUCUGCUGCUGGCUCCUCCUGCCAGGAAGUGAACAAUGGCAGCGGUGUGGGAGACAAGGCCAGGAGAGCCCGCGUUCAGUAUGGGUUGAGGGUCACAGACCUCCCUCCCAUCUGGGUGCCUGAGUUUUGACUCCAAUCAGUGACACCAGACCACAUUGACAGGGAGGAUCAAAUUCCUGACUCUACAUUUGCACUGGCUUCUUGUUUAGGCUGAAUCCUAAAAUAAAUUAGUCAAACAAUUCCAACAAGUAGCCAGGACUGCAGAGACACUCCAGUGCAGAGGGAGAAGGACUUGUAAUUUUCAAAGCAGGGCUGGUUUUCCAACCCAGCCUCUGAGAAACCAUUUCUCUGCUAUCCUCUGCCUUCCCAAGUCCCUCUUGGGUCGGUUCAGGCCCAAGCUUGUUCGUGUAGCUUCAGAAGUUCCCUCUCUGACCCAGGCUGAGUCCAUACUGCCCCUGAUCCCAGAAGGAAUGCUGACCCCUCGUCGUAUGAACUGUGCAUAGUCUCCAGAGCUUCAAAGGCAACACAAGCUCGCAACUCUUAAGAUUUUUUUAAACCACAAAAACCCUGGUUAGCCAUCUCAUGCUCAGCCUUAUCACUUCCCUCCCUUUAGAAACUCUCUCCCUGCUGUAUAUUAAAGGGAGCAGGUGGAGAGUCAUUUUCCUUCAUCCUGCAUGUCUCUAACAUUAAUAGAAGGCAUGGCUCCUGCUGCAACUGCUGUGAAUGCUGCUGAGAACCUCCCUCUAUGGGGAUGGCUAUUUUAUUUUUGAGAAGGAAAAAAAAAAGUCAUGUAUAUAUACACAUAAAGGCAUAUAGCUAUAUAUAAAGAGAUAAGGGUGUUUAUGAAAUGAGAAAAUUAUUGGACAACUCAGACUUUACUAAAGCACAGUUAGACCCAAGGCCUAUGCUGAGGUCUAAACCUCUGAAAAAAGUAUAGUAUCCAGUACCCGUUCCCUCCCAGAGGUGGGAGUAACUGCUGGUAGUGCCUUCUCUGGUUGUGUUGCUCAGUGUGUAAGUGUGUGUUUGUUUCCAGGAUAUUUUCUUUUUAAAUGUCUUUCUUAUAUGGGUUUUAAAAAAAAGUAAUAAAAGCCUGUUGCAAAAAUGACUCAUGUU
rnacentral:sRNA from 1 species